GCUGGUUGGAGGGGGUGAGGGGCAGUAUUACACAAUCUUUAUAUAUAUUUUUUUAUACAUAUAUAGAUUGUGUAAUACUGCCCCUCACCCCCUCCAACCAACACAGAAAU
rnacentral:miRNA from 1 species